AAUGAAUGCAGGUCAAUUCAUUCUCCAUUUUAAAUUUUAAAUCAAAAUGAAAUCUGAUUGAAACCGCCUAUUAUGGUCCUCAAUCACUCAUACAGGGAUCGUAAUCGGCUCUCGAACUCCAGUUUUGGGCUGAUUUAAGGAUCAGAACUAAGUACUUGCUCCCAGUCCAGUUCACUGUUCGAACUUUGACUGCUAACACGACAAGUCGUAGCAAGUGAGGAAAAAGUCGCAGAAUCUAAAACCCUAGUUAAACUUAGUGCCAUGGCGAUAUAGAACCCAAUCUAUCUACCUUCUCUCUUUCUUUACACCGCACUUACAAAACCCUUGUCCUAUUUUCACAAGACGAAGAAACAAGGCAAGCAUGGAAAGCUCUGUAGACGAAACAGCGAAAGAAGUCUCUAAUUUAUCAAUGGACAGUGAGUCUUCAGCUUCCGGAGGAGAAAAUAUCAGCAAGAAUGCGCGCAAGAAGGAAUUGAAGAACAAGCAGAGGGAAGAAGAGAGACGCCGCAAGGAGGAGGAGAAGGCCAGACAGGCUGCAGAGAGGGCUAGCACCCGGGUUCAGAAACCUGCAGCGGCUGAUGAUGAGGAUAUGGACCCAACGCAAUACUAUGAAAAUAGGCUGAAAUAUCUUGCUUCCCAGAAGGCUGAAGGAAGAAAUCCAUAUCCUCACAAAUUCCCUGUUUCGAUGUCAAUUGUAGAAUAUAUAGAAAAGUAUGGAAGCUUGAGCAAUGGAGAGCAUAUUGAGGAUGUCACUGAAUCUUUGGCCGGUCGAGUCAUGAAGAAACGAUCUUCCUCUUCGAAGCUAUUCUUUUAUGAUUUGCAUGGUGGUGAUGUUAAGAUCCAAGUGAUGGCUGAUGCGAGCAAGUCAGGCAUGGAUGAAGCUGAAUUUUCUAGGUUCCAUUCCAGUGUGAAGCGUGGUGAUAUUGUUGGUGUCAUUGGGUUUCCAGGUUUAAUUUGUUAUUGUAUUCUUUCAGUUCAUUUUCUAAUUUUUUUUGUUAAGUGGCUGAAUUAGUUAUUUUAUUUUAUAAUUCAUUUUAUUUCUAUUUCAGCUUUCACUGGAAAAUAAGAAAAUGCGUACAUCCUUCUUUUCCUACUCUUUUAAGGCUGUAUGUUGAAGUUAACAAAUGGGGGUGUUGUAACAUAUACAAAUGGAAAAAAGUUCAAGGAUGCUAAUAAUUCAUUUAAACAUUUUGGUGGUGAUGUGGUUGAGACAGGCAUGGCAGUGUGGAAACAGGGAAACAGAGCAAGUUUUAGAAAAUUUCCAAUAUUAGUAUAAAUUGGGGAAACUGGAAAACAAAUUUGGAAAAUACUGAAUUUGAACGGAAGAUUGUGGUUUUUAUUAUUUAUAGGGAAAGUUUUGGGAAAGUGGCUUAUUUUUUUCCCUACUAAAUAGACCCUUACAUUAUCUAGCGACAAAGAGGUAGGAAUGCAAAGCACUAUUUUAAUGUCAUUGAAGAAGCUAAAAGAGUUUUGGCUAAAGUUCUAUAGAAUGAAGCAAUCAAAAUCAGUUAGUAGAUUUAUGCUUAAGUUCUUGUCUAGCUGUGACAAGAAGUGAACAAUUAUGCUGUGUGCAUGCUUUUGCAUUUUUUUUUCUGCAGUGACUAUGCACAUUUCUUUUUAUGUACUAGCAAAAAAAUUCAAAGAUUUGAUUGGACUGAACAGGUGUAAAUCUUCUCAUCAAGAGGUAUAUGUGGUUUAAGUUUGUGUUAUCUUCCUAUGCUUUUGGUUACAUUUUAUUUUUUUAUUGAAGCCUUUCCCAUUUAUUGAUGCCUUUUAUUUAUAUAGAAGUCAGACUGAGUUGUGCUUUCUGGUGGUAUUUUGAAACUUAUGCAAGCAGCUGAUUUUUUUUCCCUGAUCUGAAUUAUACUCUUCAAGAAAAUAAUUUCCUAUGCUUAUUUUUGUUUCUUCAUUACUCAUGAUUAGCUUUCUUCUUCCAUUCUGUCAGGAAAAACUAAAAGGGGAGAGCUGAGUAUUUUUCCAAGAUAUUUUACUGUUUUAUCUCAUUGUCUCCAUAUGAUGCCAAGGGAGAAACCUGGUCAGAAUGCCAACAUAAAGAGAACUGACAUCUGGGGCCCAGGAGAAACCAGGAAUCCUGAAGCUUAUGCUUUAAAAGAUCAGGAAACUCGCUAUCGUCAACGUUAUCUAGAUCUGAUGUUGAAUGCGGAGGUUCGACAGAUAUUCAAGGCCCGAUCUAAAGUCAUAUCAUAUCUUAGAAGCUUUCUUGACAACCUUGAUUUCCUAGAGGUUGAAACACCCAUGAUGAAUAUGAUUGCUGGUGGAGCCGCUGCUCGCCCAUUUGUUACUCAUCACAAUGAACUGAACAUGAAGCUCUACAUGCGUAUUGCACCUGAACUUUAUCUUAAAGAGUUAGUUGUUGGUGGUCUGGAUCGUGUUUAUGAGAUAGGAAAACAAUUUAGAAAUGAGGGUAUUGAUUUGACUCAUAAUCCUGAGUUCACAACCUGUGAGUUCUAUAUGGCUUUUGCGGACUACAAUGACUUGAUGGAACUAACUGAGAGAUUGUUGAUUGGAAUGGUCAAGGAACUUACAGGUGGCUACAAAAUUAAAUACCAUGCAAAUGGUUCUGACAAGGAUCCAAUUGAGAUUGACUUUACACCACCUUUUAGACGGAUUGACAUGAUAGACGAGUUAGAACAGAUAGCCAACCUCAACAUACCAAAGGAUCUUUCCAGUGAUGAAGCUAACAAAUAUCUAGUUGCUGCGUGUGAGAGGUUUGAGGUCAAGUGCCCCCCUCCUCAGACAACAGCUCGUCUUUUGGAUAAACUGGUGGGGCACUUUCUAGAAGAAACUUGUGUGAAUCCUACUUUCAUCGUAAACCAUCCUGAAAUUAUGAGUCCUUUGGCAAAGUGGCAUAGAUCAAAACCAGGCUUGACUGAACGUUUUGAAUUGUUUGUGAACAAGCACGAGCUAUGCAAUGCAUACACUGAAUUGAAUGACCCUGUGGUACAACGUCAGCGAUUUACUGAACAACUCAAGGACCGACAAUCGGGCGAUGAUGAAGCGAUGGCUUAUGACGAAACAUUUUGUACUGCUCUUGAGUAUGGGUUACCUCCAACUGGUGGCUGGGGAAUGGGUAUUGAUCGACUAGCUAUGUUGUUAACUGAUUCCCAGAAUAUCAAGGAGGUGCUGCUUUUCCCAACCAUGAAGCCUCAAGAUGAACCUCCUGCUAAAGCAACUUGAUGAGUUUGAGAUGCUGUUCUGGAUCAGAGAUUUCAUUUUCAUAUUCUUGUCUGGGUGGUGGAGUUGGUGUCAGCUGCUGAUAAAUUUUGCCAUAUUUUUACUCAUGUCCCAACUCAUUUUUGUUGGGGAUGAUCAUUUGACCCUGUUAGUGAAGUGUGUGAAAUAAAAUGCUCUUUCAAUGUAAUCUAUGGCAUAUUCAUGCUCCUCAUUAAAUGAGAUGCUGUUUUAUUCUUGUUUUGCACUAUUGCUUGUGCAUUUUGAGUUUAAAUACAAAGUCUAGGGUCUAAUACUUGAACUAUUUGGGAAAAGUUGUACCCAUG
rnacentral:misc_RNA from 1 species